ACAAUCCGCCGAUGGGCCACGGUUUCUUUCCACUAAUUUCUUACUUUUCUUAUUCAGUUUAGGCUUUUUUUUAAACCCAGAAAUUUGUGGGGAAUUUCGGUGAUUGAGAAAUAUCUGAAGCAGUUUCCUUUAGAAAUGUGGAUCAGAAUUUAAAACAUAGCACAUGAAUGAAAACUCGAAUAUCUGAGGCGGAAAAAGUGAAACCGAAAAGAACGAACUAAUUCUUUCACAAUGAGAUUGCUGCCCACGUCGAUUCUGCUCAUCUCCUGCUCCGUCUUCGUCGCCCAAGCUACCUUUCUGAGACGU